rnacentral:rRNA from 1 species
UACAGAGGGUGCGAGCGUUAAUCGGAAUUACUGGGCGUAAAGCGUGCGUAGACGGUUAUUUAAGUCGGGUGUGAAAGCCCCGGGCUCAACCUGGGAAUUGCAUUCGAGACUGAAUAGCUAGGGUACGGUAGAGGGAAGUGGAAUUUCCGGUGUAGCGGUGAAAUGCGUAGAUAUCGGAAGGAACAUCAAGUGGCGAAAGCGACUUCCUGGACCAGUACCGACGUUCAGGCACGAAAGCGUGGGGAGCAAACAGGA